CUUUAGGCCUGGCCAAACUGCUGAAUCACUGGUGUAGGCCUCAGACACUCUGUAGAGUAGCAAAGUCAUGUGACUGCUCUGUGUGGAGUGUAGGCUAGCUCCUCCCUGGUGCUCUGUGUAAAGGAGCUGGCACCUCCGUUUUGUGUUCUCUGUUGGAGCAGUGAAAAGUGGAUGGAGGACAGAGGAGCUGUGACAGAGCUAAAGAACUCCAGGAAAUAAUGCCAGACAGCUCACUGGAAGGAAGGAUAUUAGAG
rnacentral:lncRNA from 11 species